AGUGAACGCUGGCGGUAGGCCUAACACAUGCAAGUCGAACGGCAGCACAGUAAGAGCUUGCUCUUACGGGUGGCGAGUGGCGGACGGGUGAGGAAUACAUCGGAAUCUACUUUUUCGUGGGGGAUAACGUAGGGAAACUUACGCUAAUACCGCAUACGACCUACGGGUGAAAGCAGGGGAUCUUCGGACCUUGCGCGAUUGAAUGAGCCGAUGUCGGAUUAGCUAGUUGGCGGGGUAAAGGCCCACCAAGGCGACGAUCCGUAGCUGGUCUGAGAGGAUGAUCAGCCACACUGGAACUGAGACACGGUCCAGACCCCUACGGGAGGAAGCAGUGGGGAAUAUUGGACAAUGGGCGCAAGCCUGAUCCAGCCAUACCGCGUGGGUGAAGAAGGCCUUCGGGUUGUAAAGCCCUUUUGUUGGGAAAGAAAAGCAGCAGGUUAAUACCCCGCUGUUCUGACGGUACCCAAAGAAUAAGCACCGGCUAACUUCGUG
rnacentral:rRNA from 1 species